CCAUGGCACCAGAAAUUUUGGUAUUGAUGACAUAAGCUGGAUUCCCUCUAAUAUAGCUCCCACAAUGUCACUGCCUUGAUUCUCUCCUAGCCUAAAGCAAUUAGUGAAAUUAAAUCUGAGGUCCCCGAACUUCUUGGAUGUGUAUGCACCUGAUGAACAUGAGAAGGUUUCCAGGGAUGUGCAACUAUGGGCAUUUAAACUUUCAACACUUGAUGGAAGCUCUGGCAAUGAUUGAAGACUCUUGCAGUAUUCUAAUGUGAGACUUCGCAGCCGAGAAAGUCCACUGAGGCUAGCAGGUAUGGUAAUGAAACUGUUCCUGCUCAGAUCUAACCUUUCCAAUGAGGGUAUGGACCCAAGAUCACUGGGCAAUGCUCCUUCCGAUAGGUUGCAACGUUGUAGAAUUAACACUCUCAAGGAGUAUAAACCCGAGAAAGAAGGCAGUCGCAAUUCUUCUGUUGGUGAUGAGUGGAAAGAGAAGACCAUAUUCCUUGACUUGGAAUCCCCUCCCUUACAUCCUGCUAAUGAUAAUUUUUGAAGGUUUGUCAAAAGAGUAAUAGAGGGUGGAACCUCUUGUAUACCACUUCCAUCUGCAUUCAGCUCUGCUAAACAUUGUAGGCUCCCCAAGUCAUCUGGCAAUUCCUUCAGCUCUGAGCAACCACAGAGAGUAAGAGUCCCAAGAGAUGUCAACUCACAAAAGCUUUGCGGAAGACUUGCAAGUUUUUUACAAUUCUUCAGAUUCAAAAAAACAAGCCCAUUUAGACACCCAAUUGAGGAAGGCAGUUCUAUUAUACCACUCCCAUCUAGAAAAAGCUCCAUCAAACUCUCCAUGUUUUCCUGGAUCUCUGGAAGCUUCUUGAGUCUUGUGCAGUUUGAAAGAAUGAGAGUUUUCAGGGACUUCAACUUAAAAAUGCUUCUGGGUAGUGACUCAAGGCUUUUGCACUCUUUCAGAUUUAACAAAGCAAGUCCAGUGAGAUUUUCAAUGGACAAGGGCAAUCCUUUUAUAGCAGUCCCUUCUAAAGAAAGAUUUGGUAGAUGUUCCAUAUUCCCUUGGACCUCUGGAAACUUCUUCAGUUUUGAGCAGCCAGAGAGAGUAAGAAUUUGAAGGGACUCCAUAUGGAUGCUGCUUGAGAAACUCUUGAGUUUUUUGCAGCCUUCUAAAUUCAGGAAAAUAAGCUUCUUGAGAGCUCCAAUAGAUGGGUGAACCUCGACCAAACUUGUACAACCUUUGAGAAUUAGUCUCCUAAGGUUUGGCACUCCAGAGAAGUCUGGUGUUUUGGUUAGAUGUUGAGAGUGGCUAAGUUUGAUGGAUUUCAACUUCUCAAAUCCCUAUCAAAGAAAAGGGAAAACAAUCCACUUUAAUGGACUUUAUAAUCCAUUUAAAGAAAAAAAAUGUAUAUAAAUUAUAAUCAUACCUUUUUUCCUUCCCACAGUUGUUUAAGUCUACUAAAGCACAUGUUUAGCUCAACAAGCUUCUCUGGAUGAAAAUUUGAUGGAAAGGACUUCAAAGGGUAUCCAUGCCAAUAGAGAUCUCUUAAGUUGUUGGAUAGAAAUUUGGAAUCUUCAUAUAGGUGCAAUUUAUUUUGAGUGUACAAAUAAUUCCUCUCUGUCCAAACAUCAUGAGUAUAGGCAAUUAACUCUUUUUUUGACAAAUAUCCUAAGCUUCUAUCUAUUUGCACAUUACAAAUUUUGAGCAAUCUUAAUCUCUUCAUCUUUGUAAAGGCGUCAAUACUAAAGUUUAACUCUUUUGAUUCAGACAAAUCAAGGAAUAUGCCUUCAACUGCUUCGGUCCCCUAACAUUAACCAAGAGCAAAGUAUAAGUUUCAAAUUAAAAUAGAAAAAUUAAAAAAAUAAUAAUAAUAAAGAAAAAAGAAAGAAGAAAGUCUAGAAUAUAGCAAAUUAAUUACAUUUUUUUCCUUUUUAUUUUUUAUUUAUUUUUCACUUUUUUAAGUGUUGUUGGAAACUUGGAGGAAUGAAUUUUUAACACAAGAAAUAUUUUAGGAUAGUAACUUUCGUAAUGGAAGUAAAAUUGUACAAAACUGUGAGUUCUUGAAUGAGAUUGGAUAGUAUUCUUUAAACUUAGGCUUCCAUCUAAAACUUAUACACAUGAAAAAAGAGAGUUGAUGUAUUUUAGCCUUACCGUAUUUGUUGUUAGUACAUGAUUGAUGUCCUCAUGAACUCUUAACCUGCUACGCUCGCCAGGUACUUCAGAUUUUUGUCUAACAAUUUCCCAACCCAUUUCUUGUAAUAAAUCAUGCAUGCACAACUUAUUCUCCGAAAUAGUUAUAAGUGACUUAUCUUCAAGAUUUCUUAUCCCAAUGCCAAAGAAGAAACCACAACUAUCUAGUAUGUCUCCAACAAAAUCUUUAUCAUGCCCUUUAUAAAAGAAUGCAAUAUCAAGAAAUAUAUUUUGUUCAUUGUCAUCUAACCCUUCAAAACUUGUUUUGAGCACAUUUUGAACUUCUUUGUUGGGGAAUUGUUUGAGUUUGUUCAAUUCACUCUCCCAUUCAUGUAUGCCUUUUGUGUAUAGAGAAGAACCCAAGACUUUAAGGGCUAACGGGAGGCCACUAGUAUAAUCUAAUGCAUGGCCACAUAGUUGCCUAAAAUCUUCUGUACCAUGCCUAUGUCUAAAGGCAUACAGACAAAAUAGCUUAAGAGCUUCAUCAUUGUCUAAUUCCUUAACUUCGUAUAUUGCAUCCACUUCUUGACAAGUUAGCAAAUGUCGAUCUCUAGUUGUUAUGAUAAUUCGACUUCCUAAACCAAACCAAUUAUUGUAUCCUGCUAAAUCUUCCAACUGUUGUCGUUGAUCCACAUCAUCAAGGAUAAUAAGGACCUUCCUAGAGUGGAGCACAUCCUUCAUAAAAUUGAUUCCUUUAUUAAAAAGUCCUGCAUUUGGUUUCCUUUCCUUUAAAAUUUGUGAAAGGAGUUCCAUUUGUAAAUAAGGUAGACCAUGUUUGUAUGACUCUUCUCUAACAUUUGAAAGAAAGCAACAACCUUCAAAUUGAGUGUAGAUUCGCUCAUAAAUAACUUUAGCAAUGGUAGUCUUCCCUAUGCCAGCCAUGCCCCAAAUUCCUACCAUCCGAACAUCAAGUGAUCCAAUACAUAAUAAGCAAUGUUUUAAAAACCGGACCGGACCGGCCGGUCGGACCGGUCCAACCGUCGGCCGGUCACCAUUCCGGUCCGAUCCGGUCAUUUAGACCGGAUUGAGAUCUAACCGGAGUUAAACCGUUCGAACCGGCGGUUCAACCGGUGAACCGGACGAACUGGCCGGUUCCAAAAAAACCGACCAAUUCAAAAGAUUUUAAUUUUUCUUUAAAAAAAAAUUAGAAAAUGAAAAUAUUACCAUAGAAUUUAAAAUGAAUUUUACUAAAGGAUGUUGGGCUUGUCUUAUGACACAGCCCACAACCCACAUACCCAUUCCACUUUAUGUGGGCUGAGUUUUGAGCCCAAGUUUUGAGCCCACAAGCCUAUCUUAAGCCUUUGCUGAGGAUGGCUUUUAUAGGAGUCAUUUGACUCCUUGUUCCCCUUUCUUGCCGAUGUGGGAUUGCUAAAAAUCAAAGAAAAAAAACAUAACAAAACUCCAAGAAGGUUUGAACCUUGGACCACCCCUAUACUAAGUCCACAUAGAACACCACUCGGCUACAUGGAUUUUAUUUCCUACUAUGCCAAACAAAACAACACAUAUUAGAUUUUAAAUUUUUUUAUAAUAUUAAAUAAAAAUAAUAUAAUAUUUUUAAAAAUUAUGAAAUUAGUUUAAAUUUUCAUUUUUUUAUAUAUUCAUAUUUAAAUAUUACACAUAUUUCAUUUAAUAAAAUUUAAAAUAUUAAUAUGAUUUAAUUUGAUAAUAUAUUAAUAUCAAAGAUAUAAAAUAAUAUUAUUGAUGUUUAAUUUAUUCAUAUAUAUUUUAAAAUUUUUAUAAUUAUAUUUAAUUUUAAUAAAAUAUAAAUUAUAUAUUUAUGACGUCACCGGUUCGAUAGCGGUUCGACCGCCGGUCCGACCAGUGAACCGUGAACCGGUAACUUUUCCGGUUCGAUCACCGGUCCGGUUCUGAAAACAUUGAUAAUAAGGAAUCCAUGGCCUCUAGGCGGGACUCCAUCCCAACUAGGCCCUUCAUGUAGCUUGGAGAUGUGCCAACCAAUUUAUUCCAAAUAUCUCUAACAAUUUCCUCAAUAAGUUUGGAUUCAUGCCUGUCAAAUUCAAUUUGAGAACAAUGACAUAUAUAGUUAAAAUAAUAAUAAAAAUCCAUAAACGGACAAAGAAAAAUAUAUUAAAUGUGAGAGUACGUAGAGGUCGUUUGUUUUUUUAGCUUUUUAUUGAAAACAAUUGUUUAUUUUUCCACUUUUUUUAUAACUUAUUAUAAACAUUUUGUUGAAUAGAAAAAAAAAAAAAAAAACAAUCUGAGAUACCAUAAUUAAGAGCCACGCUCAACACUCUGUCCUGCAGAAACUUAAUGGUUAUGACCAUCAGGGGUGGAAAACUAGUGAGAUCAAGGACCAUAUGGCAAGGUACCGAAUUUUAUUUAUGCCUAAUAUUAUAAUUUUUUAUAACAAGGGGCAUUUAGAUCGAUCUCAGCUUAAUACGUGGGUCGAGAUCAAUCUUCAUUUGGAUCAAUGUGUACAUAGUCACCUCUUAAUUAAUACAUACCUCUGACAUGUCACAUGAUGAAGCAGAGCUUAUCCAGUUAAUAGAAAAGAAGAAGCACAUCUAGUUAGAAAGAAUUACCUAUCCCGUGAAUCCCAUCCAGAAAUUGUGGCUACUUCAGUUAAUGCUUCUCUCCACUUGACCACUUUCUCCAUCUUCUCCCUGUAUUCUUGUUCAUGCUUUGCAAAUGCCUCUGCAAAACUCCCUGUUUGUUUUUUUACAUGGGAGGGAUUCAAGUUAUAGAAAACUGGUAGUGCUCUAUGUCCCAUAACUUUGAUGCAGUCAAGUAUCUUUACUAGCUCGUCCAGACACCAACUGGAAGAAGCAUAGUUGUCAGAGAAAAUGAUGAUGGAAAACCUCGAUUCUUCAAUGGCGUUAAGGAGCGCUGGAGAUAUUUGUUCUCCUCUCCUAAGUUGGUCAUCCAUGAAAGUGUUGAUUCCUUUUUGACAAAGCGCCGUGUGAAGAUGAUCAGUGAAGCUUUUACGGGUGUCUUCGCCUCUGAAACUAAGGAAGACAUCAUACUUCCAUUGAUGGGUGGAAGAAGAAGUAGAAGAAGUAGAAGAAGAAGAGGAAGAAGGAGCCAUUAGAGAAAUGAAAGAAGCAAAACCAUGGGAAGAAUGAACAAGAAAACUAAUGAACCUGAGGGCUGAAUUCAGUGUCUUGUGUGGACCUUAUCCAAAAAGAAUCACCAUUUGGCUGGACCGUGAGAACUGAAGAGCUAAUGUCUAUUCAUACCCCAUUGGUAUUAACACAUCAUUAUUAGUAUAUUAACAUCAUUCAUCCAGUGUAUUGAAAUUAUGUAAUAAUUUCUUUAUAUACAUAUAGAAAAAAGAAACUACAAGUUUUGUGAAGUCAAAUUAGUAUUUCAUUUGUUUUUAGAAAUGAUUUAUAAUAUAAGUAUAUUAUAAAAUAUGGUAUGAUCAUACAAAAUUAUCACUUUUAUAAAAAAAAGUUCAAAAUUUUUCCAAUUAGAUUUUAUUAUAAUAUAUUGUAAUGUAAACGUAUUUAUAUUGUAAUUAUAACAUAUUUUUGUUGUAUCUAAGUUUUAUAAUAAAAGUAAUAAUUUUAGAUAUCAUUUUUUAUUCCUCAUUAAUAUUCAACAUAUCAUAUGUAUUAACAUCAUCCACUCAAUUUAUUGAGAAAAAAAAAAUUAUAUAUGAAAAUUAAAUAGUCUACCUCCCUCUAAUUUAAAAAAUGGAUUACUCCGCUCAGGUGAAUAAUAUUUUCAACCUAAAUUAAUAUUUUGCAUUUUUUUAACAAAUAUUUUUCCAUGCAGGAUGAAUAAGUUAAGCUUUCACCAUAUUCUAGAAUUUAUUUUAACAUGGUAUUAAAAAUUUUAUGUUAUAUUUUUCUUAGCAUUUCAAUCUCAAUUUUAAUUUAAUAAUGAAAUAUCAUAUCAUUUUAUUAAGUUGCUUAGCUUCAAAGCAUUUAAUAGUGAGUCCGGGGCUAAACAUAAUUUAAAUAAAAAAAGUCAAAUGGAAAAAGGAAAAGUGGGAGACACAAAAGAGAGAAAGACAAGAAUGGGGUGGGGGCCAUUGCUUUUUCUAAGAGAAAAGCUUUUCCUCAUCCACGAAGAAGACCAGUCCAUGAUUAAAAAGGAAGUGAUUACCUCAAAUCAGGAGGUAUGACAGAGAUUGAACAAGAGCUUCUUCAACUCGAACCACCUUUAAACUCUUCAUUGAAAUCUGGAGAAAUCAAAGUAUUUUUCACUCAAUUGUUGCUAUAAUAUCAUGAUAAAUUUAUUUUAAUAAAUUAAUAGAAUAAACAAUUGGUGGUCAAUAAAAUAUUUCCAAAAUCCAAUGUUUGAUUGCCAAAGGCUUCAAGAGUAUGAGAAGGUUUCGAAGAAGCUUACAGGGGGAGCAUAGGUGAUGGAGGGGAAAGAAGGAACCCGAUUUUGAAGGAGCCGAAGGGUCCAUCAGAUGACCUUUUUUGUAGUUAGAGUCAUCUCCAUCGCCAUCUCCAUCUCCCGGCCACGUGGUGCCGAAAGGAAAGCUGCAUCCGCCAUCUUUCUCGUCUUCCUCGUAUACUAGACGAAUCCCACACUUUUUCACCUCACCAUCUGAGCCCGUCAAUGCAAAUGAAGCAACCACAUUGUCGCUUAGCUUUCUGAACCAAUUACCGAGGCAGAUCUCUAGUCGAGCAAGAGAUUUAUACUCAAACAACGUGUGAUCUGACUCAAUAAAUCUGGAUCCUUCAGGUGGAGUAUACAAUGAGUGCAGGCCAGUCUCCACAUAACAAUCAUUCAGAUAACAAACUAAACCAAAGGGUGAAGGUUCUGUACCGGGGUACCCAUCCAUAGCACCCUUGAAAUUGAGAGCAGCACAAAAAGCCAAUCCCAUCAACUUGGUAUUAUACCAAUGUGGAGGCAGCUCUAUAUUUACAGAACACCCUACACUCUGAUGCCUGAACCACUCUGGAAUUCUACUUCCAGGAACCAAAGCAUUAUGUUCAUUGUCUGGAGUAGGGAUCCCCUGCAUCAUGGAAAUCAUUUCUCGCAUGUGAGAAAAUAGUGUAGAAUAAGUAUUCAAAGUUUUAAAAUUAUUUUCUGGGAUUAAAUUUAUUUUUCAGUUUUUUUUUUUAAGCAAAUACUUUUUGUCCUAUACAAUCCCAAAGUAGAAAAACAUACCCAUGGCACCAGAAAUUUUGGUAUUGAUGACAUAAGCUGGAUUCCCUCUAAUAUAGUUCCCACAAUGUCACUGCCUUGAUUCUCUCCUAGCCUAAAGCAUAUAGUGAAAUUAAAUCUGAGAUCCCCGACCUUCUUGGAUGUGUAUGCACUUGAUGAACAUGAGAAGGUUUCCAGGGAUGUGCAACUAUGGGCAUUUAAACUUUCAACACUUGAUGGAAGCUCUGGCAAUGAUUGAAGACUCUUGCAGUAUUCUAAUGUGAGACUUCGC
rnacentral:lncRNA from 1 species